AUUCCUAAUACUAAGAACAUCUGUAAUAUUGGAUGUCUGACUCCAGAAACUUCAUUUUAAUGGCAUCACAUUUGGGAACAACCUAUCCCCAAGAGAAGUCCGGCCCUAAGGUUUGUGCAUCAAGCAUCACACAAUACAACCCAUGAAGCUGGCAUGAGAUCCGUGGAUGCAGAACUGCCCAGAAAAUGCCAGGAGGACUUGUGGCUUUGUUCUGAACUUUGCGUGCAUUCUCUUAUGGUUUGAUCUCGUUGUCCUUACCAAGCUGCCUCCGUCCCUUCCAUGUGGUGUCCUUGGAGGCAGCUAGGAGUCACAGGCAGAGUAUGAAACACUGCUGUGCUGUAUGAACACUGGAGCCAGACACAAUGGGGCUGAGACAUUGUAGUGUUCAUUAGACAGAUGAGGAAAUCAAGGCAGAAAGAAGUUAUGCUACUCCCCAAAGGAAGACUGGACAGCCAUCUCUGUUGUGUGAAAGUACUACAGACCCUGGUGUCCACGAUUUGUUCGACUCUGAAAGUCCACACAGACCAUGUGACUCCGAACUCCAUCUGAGAGGGAAAGGCACCAGUUUUCUGCAGUGCUGAGUCAGUUGUACCUGCCCAGGGAAGCCAGCGUACAUCACAAUGAAAGCACUGUCUUAGAACCACAGGAACAGACUUUCUGGAAGUUCUGGAAGCUGACAGUCUGGAACUACCAUAUCCUUGGAAGGCUUUCGGUAAGAACCUAUGCCAUGCAUUCCCCUGGGUUUCUGCUCAGCAGACAUCGUCAGUUUAGGCCUUAAGCCCACGUAAGUCACCCCAUCAAUAUCCAUUAAUAUCACCCCAGUUCCACCUCAUCCUCACGUGGCUUCUUUUCUUUUAUCUUCGCAUGAGACAAGAGUCACUGGGUCUCCAGCCUGCCCUGACCCCAGUAUGCUCGCACUUCAAGGUCCUUACUUAUGCGCAAAAAAACCUUUUUCCAAAAUACAGCCACACUGGAAGGCUUUAGGCAGGCAUGAAUUUUGAGGGGAAUUUUUACCCACUACAAAUGCUUACAGCUGAACUAAGUGACUUGACAUUUACUCUUUGCGGUGUAUCAAAUUCAACUUGCAGCGCAUGCCUCUUCUUUACCUCACGCCCUCUGGGGGAACGUUUCUGCAGUACGCUGGCAAAAUCACCCAUAUUCUUGUUACUGUGCACCCCACCUUCAGAGGGGUUAGAGGAUCUUAUCUUCCUCUGUUCUGCGGGACUGUGUGGGACCUCCAGUCCUAUGCUAAGUUGAAUCCUCUGUAGGUACUUGUGCUUCUCAGUAUAAUGUGCACCUGAUUCUCUUGAUAAAAAUUCUCUUCAUAUAAAAAUCAACCUAUGAGACCUGGAGAUAUGCGAAGCAACUGUGAGGAACUGAGUUCAGUCUCUCAGCACCCAAAUAAAAAGCGAGAAAUAAUUAUGAGUGUCCUGGCAAGCUUCACAGCUGAGUAUGAUGAAUGUUUACCUUUCUCCUCUGGGACUGUACUCAGAUUCUCUCAGCACUAUGAAAGCUGGGAUGAACUUUCCUGACCAGUGCC